UUUGUUUUCUUUGGAGGGUAGUCUAUACGAUAUUUUUAAUGUAAGGAAUUAAGAUAUUGUCUAUUGAAAGAAAUCUAGCAUUUUGGAAAAAUACAUACCUAUGUAUUUGCUCUCGUAUCAUUUAUGUAUUUUACAGUUUCAUCAUUCCUUUGAAAGACGCCAGGCACGAUUUUAUGUCAAUAAACGAGACGUUAAUUUGACACUGUGUAAUGUCGUAUUUCUAAACGUCCCGGUUUUGUACAAUACCUCGUUAUUACUUUACUUGUCAAGAGCAGAUCCAUAUUGAUUUUCUUUGCAUUCAAACGAACACUUCUAGAACAUUCAGUUUUAGAAAUAUUUGGCUUGCCAUCUGACACAGAAAUGGCCUACAAGGAAUAAUCAGUGACAAAAGUGGGCACCGGCACAGACAUCUUUGGUGACCUGCUGCAGCUCUGUUGAAACUUAUCUUGCUGCCAUUUCUUACUCCAAUCACAAAAGGUCACAAUAGGACAGCAAAAACUGGUUCUCCUCAGGCAUUUGUUGACAUUUCUGAAGGGACUGCAAAUCGAGUAUCCAGAAUCUCUACAUCAUCGUGGACAAGAAGGCAUUUAAAAGUGUCUUUGACAUUGAUGAACUCUUCAAAGCUCACUUUGUAUUCAGCACAUCAUACAGUGAAGCACUUUACAGUUGCACCACAGCAGACAUCAAGAAUAAAGGAACUGAGAGCUUCACGGCCCCUGACCAUCAUCCACAUUUGCAAAAGAGCAGAGGAAAAAAAUAACAAAUUUGGAAUGACAUGCUGGUCUUACGGGUGUGGAACGGCAUGAGGGUAAGUAAU